CCCCCUCCCAACUUCCCCCAUCUUUACAAAGCUCUGUAGGCUUCCUGCUCAUGUAACAGAGUAUCCUUGCCUGAGACCUGAAGACUUGCGUUAGCUCGCCAAGAUCAGAUAACGCCUAUAGCCUUUAGCUCAGCGGGCACACAAAGCAAGAUUCAGCCAUCAAUCAUCAUCACCAUCACCAUCAUCAUCACCAUCAUCACCAUCAUCAUCAUCAUCAUCACCAUCAUCAUCACCAUCACCACCACCAUCAUCAUCAUCAUCACUGUAGAUACAUUAAAAAAAUACCUUGACAUGAUUUCACUAUUUGACACAUUUAACGGCCUGGUAAUAUAAUCAGAUCUCUCUUUAAACAGUUACAGAAUUACCCCCCCCCCACCCCCGGUACUACUAACCCAGUACUAACUAACCCCCCAUGGUUAACUAACCUAAUACUAACUAACCCCCCUGGUUAAGUAUUAACUACAACAUCCCUGUUUGGCAGUGGUCAGAUAAGUCUUAGACAGCGUCUGAAAUGGCCCCCUAUUCCCUAUGUGGUGCACUACUUUCCACCAGGACGGGAGGGUUUAGGACGGGCCAGGGCCCUGGCCAAUAGCAGGUCACUAUAGGGCCCUGGCCAAUAGCAGGUCACUAUAGAGGGAAUGGGCCCUGGCCAAUAGCAGGUCACUAUAGAGGGAAUGGGCCCUGGCCAAUAGCAGGUCACUAUAGGGCCCUGGCCAAUAGCAGGUCACUAUAGAGGGAAUGGGCCCUGGCCAAUAGCAGGUCACUAUAGAGGGAAUGGGCCCUGGCCAAUAGCAGGUCACUAUAGAGGGAAUGGGCCCUGGCCAAUAGCAGGUCACUAUAGAGGGAAUGGGCCCUGGCCAAUAGCAGGUCACUAUAGGGCCCUGGCCAAUAGCAGGUCACUAUAGGGCCCUGGCCAAUAGCAGGUCACUAUAGAGGGAAUGGGCCCUGGCCAAUAGCAGGUCACUAUAGAGGGAAUGGGCCCUGGCCAAUAGCAGGUCACUAUAGGGCCCUGGCCAAUAGCAGGUCACUAUAGAGGGAAUGGGCCCUGGCCAAUAGCAGGUCACUAUAGAGGGAAUGGGCCCUGGCCAAUAGCAGGUCACUAUAGGGCCCUGGCCAAUAGCAGGUCACUAUAGAGGGAAUGGGCCCUGGCCAAUAGCAGGUCACUAUAGAGGGAAUGGGCCCUGGCCAAUAGCAGGUCACUAUAGGGCCCUGGCCAAUAGCAGGUCACUAUAGAGGGAAUGGGCCCUGGCCAAUAGCAGGUCACUAUAGAGGGAAUGGGCCCUGGCCAAUAGCAGGUCACUAUAGGGCCCUGGCCAAUAGCAGGUCACUAUAGAGGGAAUGGGCCCUAGCCAAUAGCAGGUCACUAUAGAGGGAAUGGGCCCUGGCCAAUAGCAGGUCACUAUAGGGCCCUGGCCAAUAGCAGGUCACUAUAGAGGGAAUGGGCCCUGGCCAAUAGCAGGUCACUAUAGAGGGAAUGGGCCCUGGCCAAUAGCAGGUCACUAUAGAGGGAAUGGGCCCUGGCCAAUAGCAGGUCACUAUAGGGCCCUGGCCAAUAGCAGGUCACUAUAGAGGGAAUGGGCCCUGGCCAAUAGCAGGUCACUAUAGAGGGAAUGGGCCCUGGCCAAUAGCAGGUCACUAUAGGGCCCUGGCCAAUAGCAGGUCACUAUAGAGGGAAUGGGCCCUGGCCAAUAGCAGGUCACUAUAGGGCCCUGGCCAAUAGCAGGUCACUAUAGAGGGAAUGGGCCCUGGCCAAUAGCAGGUCACUAUAGGGCCCUGGCCAAUAGCAGGUCACUAUAGGGCCCUGGCCAAUAGCAGGUCACUAUAGGGGGAAUGGGCCCUGGCCAAUAGCAAUGAUUUCAAAUAGCGUUUUGAACCCAGGUCUCGCAGAGCGCCGUCUAGAGAUGGGUGGGUUAGACCGGGUCGACACAGACUAUUGAGAUGAGCCCUGUGUGUCUGUAUGUUUCCAGUUGCAGUGAACGCUAUCCGAGGUGUGUGGGGUUGUUGGGUUCUGUGGCACAAAAUGGCUGCAGUGCGUCUCUGUAAUGGAGGACACUGGACCCUGAACUCUGACCCUGCUUUGGCACAGUUUCACAGUAACGUAACAUUGUGUGUGUGUGUGAGGUGAUGACAGUACCUAGGUCUAGGGGGGGGCUAUGUAUAUCCAGCAUCCCUCCUUCCCUGUAAUAACAUGAUUCUAACAUUAUCGUAACAUUACACUUUUUUUCAUAACAUUUCUAGUAUUCUUACAGUGAUUGAUAAUUCAUGGAAUGUCGAUCAGUUUGAUCAGUUGGUCAAUAUUGGUCCCCAGAUCAGUGUGGAGGUCAUUUGAUUGGUUGAGGGGGAAUGCAACCGAUUGUUUGAGCAUCGAUUAGUCAUCGGUUGAUUCAGCAUCAUAGAUUCAUACACAUGGGUCCAUCUGUUCAGUUGAGUAGAAGUUGUCUUUAACCGCUGAUAAGAGGUCAGAUCUUAUUCCAUCUCCAUAAUGGUUCAGGUUAGGACUGGGGCAGGGGAAUCUGGUCCUAGAUCAGUGGUUAUGUUUGGGUUUGAACAGUAGAUAUGGGUUAGGGACAAGCCUAUGUCCCAAUUCUCUCUCCUUCCUCCCCAAAGUAUGCGCUUUGUUACAUUUACAUGACAUUUGAGUCAUUUAGCAGACGCUCUUAUCCAGAGCGACUCACAGGAGCAAUUAGGGUUAAGUGCCUUGCUCAA